rnacentral:rRNA from 1 species
AUUGAACGCUGGCGGCAGGCCUAACACAUGCAAGUCGAGCGUAGCGGCGGACGGGUGCGUAAUACCUAGGAAUCUGCCUGGUAGUGGGGGAUAACGUUCGGAAACGGACGCUAAUACCGCAUCCUAUAAGUUGAGCCUAGGUCGGAUUUGCUAGUUGGUGAGGUAAUGGCUCACCAAGGCUACGAUCAGUAACUGGUCUGAGAGGAUGACCAGUCACACUGGAACUGAGAAACGGGCCAAACGCCUACGGUAGGCAGAAGUGGGGAAUAGUGGACAAUGGGCGAAAGCCUGAUCCAGCCAUGCCGCGUGUGUGAAGAAGGUCUUCGGAUUGUAAAGCACGUUAAGUUGGGAGGCGGUACCGACAGAAUAAGCACCGGCUAACUCUGUGACAGCAGCCGCGGUAAUUC